UAGGAACACUAGGGGUGCCGCCAAGGCUGAGAGAGACGCAGGUCUUAACCCUUGAACCUGAUCUGGGUAAUGCCAGCGAAGGGAAGUGGUCUGCCGUCCGC
rnacentral:ncRNA from 2 species